rnacentral:lncRNA from 1 species
AAGGGCACAGGACGUUUGCGCUUUUUUACCUGUAAAACGAUAGGACAUUUGCGCUUCAAAUACUAUGGACAUUUGCGCUUUUAAUUUUGAUUCACCUGUAUUAAAUUCACCAGACAUUUGCGCUUUUUACCUAUAGUCGACUACCUGUAAUCUUAAUGAGAAGUAAAUCAUUACAUAAAUAAAUUUAACUUAUAUUUGUCAUUAGUUAGUUCACAUUUACACAGUGAACAUAGAUUUUAAAGUUAUAGUGACUAGUAAAGAAAAAAAAUGAAUAUGUCUUGAUGGAUUUUUAUAUCGUUUCGACCAAACCCUAAAAAUUGGAGACCUUUUAAGGAGAUGUACCGUUGAAAAUGAGAAACUCGCUCAUUUAUUUGAGAUGUGGGAUAAGUACCAAUCAGGACAGUUAACAAGAGCAAAAUUUGUUCACUCAUUGGGCUUCAAAUAUCAAGCUAAAACUGACCUGUAAUUGUGAUGACAGUACUUGAUUUUAUUUCUGUACAUACACUUUAAACAUAUAUCAACAAUGUGCUAUGACAUAUGAAGGUGCUAUGAAUUUUAAACUUUUAACCAUAAAGAUGACUUUAACUCUGCCAGGUCAAACCUACCGGUCCCAAGCCCGGAUAAAAGAGGAGGCUGGGAAGUUAUAGAUAUAUAUAUAUAAAAAAAAGCGCAAAUGUCCUAUGUAAAAAGCGCAAAUGUCCAUUUUUAAAAAGCGCAAAUGUCCUAUGUUUUGAAGCGCAAGUGUCCACAAAAAAAAGCGCAAAUGUCCUAUGAAAAAGCGCAAACGUCCCGUGCCGGAUA